AAAUUGAAGAGUUUGAUCAUGGCUCAGAUUGAACGCUGGCGGCAGGCCUAACACAUGCAAGUCGAACGGUAGCACAGAGAGCUUGCUCUCGGGUGACGAGUGGCGGACGGGUGAGUAAUGUCUGGGAAACUGCCCGAUGGAGGGGGAUAACUACUGGAAACGGUAGCUAAUACCGCAUAACGUCGCAAGACCAAAGUGGGGGACCUUCGGGCCUCACACCAUCGGAUGUGCCCAGAUGGGAUUAGCUAGUAGGUGGGGUAACGGCUCACCUAGGCGACGAUCCCUAGCUGGUCUGAGAGGAUGACCAGCCACACUGGAACUGAGACACGGUCCAGACUCCUACGGGAGGCAGCAGUGGGGAAUAUUGCACAAUGGGCGCAAGCCUGAUGCAGCCAUGCCGCGUGUAUGAAGAAGGCCUUCGGGUUGUAAAGUACUUUCAGCGAGGAGGAAGGCGUUGUGGUUAAUAACCACAGCGAUUGACGUUACUCGCAGAAGAAGCACCGGCUAACUCCGUGCCAGCAGCCGCGGUAAUACGGAGGGUGCAAGCGUUAAUCGGAAUUACUGGGCGUAAAGCGCACGCAGGCGGUUUGUUAAGUCAGAUGUGAAAUCCCCGGGCUCAACCUGGGAACUGCAUUUGAAACUGGCAAGCUUGAGUCUCGUAGAGGGGGGUAGAAUUCCAGGUGUAGCGGUGAAAUGCGUAGAGAUCUGGAGGAAUACCGGUGGCGAAGGCGGCCCCCUGGACAAAGACUGACGCUCAGGUGCGAAAGCGUGGGGAGCAAACAGGAUUAGAUACCCU
rnacentral:rRNA from 1 species